rnacentral:rRNA from 1 species
UACGUAGGUGGCGAGCGUUGUCCGGAUUUACUGGGCGUAAAGGGCUUGUAGGCGGUCCGCUAAGUCUGGUGUGAAAUCUCCCGGCUCAACUGGGAGGGGUCAUCGGAUACUGACGGACUUGAGGGGGGUAGAGGAAAGCAGAAUUCCUGGUGUAGCGGUGAAAUGCGUAGAUAUCAGGAGGAAUACCAGUGGCGAAGGCGGCUUUCUGGGCCUACCCUGACGCUGAGGAGCGAAAGCGUGGGGAGCAAACCGG